AUGUGCUUUGGUGAGUGCUGUGAAGUGUGUAAACCUGGUGAUUCACAGACCUGUACCCCUGGGGAUAAAAAUAUAUGUUUAUAAAAAAUAAAAAAAUUAAAAUUUAAAAAAAAAGAUUAAAAAAAACCCCAAAAGCCUUAUUUUUUUCUUGAUUUAUUCCUAUUGGACAUAGUGCAUUAACUUUUUGCAUUGCUCUCCUACAGUUCACCCAACAUAGUUAUGUCACCAGAUUGCAGGGUUCUUGUGUCUCUUGGAGUCGAAGAAGGAACCUUGAGGACGGAAAAGGGUGAAGAGAAGCAGAAGUUUAUUAAGGGAAGCUGGGUCAAGAGAGGAACUUUAUUUCCUGCUUUACCCGCAGCACCUAGAGGACCGUGGGCAACUACUUAAUGCUUGUGGACCUGCGACUUCAUUCUGCAGUUACUUACUGAACACCUGCAAUGAAAACAUAAACCACUCUCACGUUUGAAGUGUUUUUGGGUAAGAAACUUCUUCUUCUUCUUUUUUUAAUGAAUGUACAAACGGCUUUAUUUUGUUUUAUUCGUGAUAACAAUUUAAUCUAUUUUUUCUUCAAGUAUUUUUAAAUACUUAGUUUUCAAAAUUUACAUAAAGAUCACAGAAUUGUUCAUUUAGAAUGUAAAAGAAGAAUGAACACAUGUGAGGUAACAAACUUCUAAUUCCUACCUCAUUGCCUAAGGAGGAGAAGAGUCUGUGGCUCCAAUUGUUCUGUACUUUUCUGUCAGUUUCUCUUUCUGAGUUCCCUUUCUCAUCUUCACUGUUAUGUUCCUGGUGCUCACAGGUGCUGCAGCCCGCGGGAUUUCUGUGGGAGGCGGUCCCCUCUGCAGGUGCUUGGCUGUAGAACCGUUGAUUGCCAUGGUUGCCAAGCCAUCUCUACCCACUUCUGGUUUUCAAAUAUUAGUUGAAACCUCUUGACUACUGUUCUUUCUCUUGCAGUUUUUGUCCUCGUGGCUUAAGGUCUUGUAAAAAUUAUUUAUUGCCAUUUUAGCAGAGUUUUGGAAAAGAGAAAAAAAAAAGAAACAAGUAUGGUCUACCACUUUAACCAAAAUUCUUCCAAUUCUUUUUUUAUUAUAAAGACCCAGGACUGGCAUGAGUAAAAAUAAACAGUUAACACAAUCAAAUUUUGUUUACUUUUACCUUUUGUCUGCUUGGCACAUUUCUGUAACUUCCAAAUUCUCACUAAAAGGUAAAAAACUAGACAAAAUAAACAAGCACAGAAGGGAACUAAGAAUAUGUGUGAGUAGAUAGGAAUUCUUCCCUUACUGCUCUUUAGGAUGGGAGUUUCCCCAGAUUUCCUCAACCCUAAGCCCUUAAAAGGAAACACGAGGAGAAGGCUGAAACCAGGGGCACACAGCCAUUGAACAGGAAAUCUUUUCCUUAUAUUCUUCUCCCACAAUCAUGAAAGCACAGAUGUGAUGGAUGUCCUGAUUCUAUUUUUACAGAACCUGUGUAAUUUAUUGAAAUGGAAACCUAGAGGCUUAUCUCUCUCUGGUAUUGCUCCUAAAGGAUUCAGUUCCAAAAGGCAGUCAGCAAAAAUGUUGAUCAAUCCCCCAAAACAGAUCUGCAGAGAGAAUAAAUACCCUAAGAAUGCAGAAAUAGAGAGAAAAGAAAAUAAUACAGUUUGCCCAAAAGCUGCCUCAACCAUUUUGUGAGCUGAUUAUAAAAAUAUUACUUUGAAUUUUAUGUCUUACCUGUGUUGCAUGAAUUAGUAGAAGGGAGAGUAAUCCAUUUUAUGACUGGUAUGUCUCCAAACUUUUCUC